AUUAACCAACUUGAUUCAAAAUUGAUUUUAAGUAGACAUGAGUGGUGUUUCUGUGGCAUUAUUCAUAAUACUGCUAAUGUCUCCUGAGACUCGCUUUUGAAUACUCCUGGAAUAC